UACAGAGGGUGCAAGCGUUGUUCGGAAUUAUUGGGCGUAAAGGGCACGCAGGCGGUCUACCGCGUUCGGAGUGACAGCUUCUGGCUUAACCGGGAGAGGGUUCUGAAAACGGGUAGACUUGAGGGCCAAAGAGGAACACAGAAUUCCUGGUGUAGCGGUGAAAUGCGUAGAUAUCAGGAGGAACACCGGUGGUGUAGACGGCUUACUGGACCACGACUGACGCUGAGGCACGAAAGCGUGGGUAGCAAACAGG
rnacentral:rRNA from 1 species